GACGAACCGUGCGAACGUUGUUCGGAAUCACUGGGCUUAAAGGGCGCGUAGGCGGGUUCGCAAGUCGGGGGUGAAAUCUUUCAGCUUAACUGGAAAAGUGCCUCCGAUACUGCGAGUCUCGAGGGAGGUAGGGGCAUGUGGAACUUCCGGUGGAGCGGUGAAAUGCGCAGAUAUCAGGAGGAACACCGGUGGCGAAGGCGGAUCUCUGGGCCGUAACUGACGCUGAGGAGCGAAAGCAUGGGGAGCGAACAGG
rnacentral:rRNA from 1 species